rnacentral:rRNA from 1 species
UGACCUGCGGAGGAUCAUUACUGAGUGAGGGCCCUCUGGGUCCAACCUCCCACCCGUGUUUAUUGUACCUUGUUGCUUCGGUGCGCCCGCCUCACGGCCGCCGGGGGGCUUCUGCCCCCGGGUCCGCGCGCACCGGAGACACUAUUGAACUCUGUCUGAAGAUUGCAGUCUGAGCAUAAACUAAAUAAGUUAAAACUUUCAACAACGGAUCUCUUGGUUCCGGCAUCGAUGAAGAACGCAGCGAAAUGCGAUAACUAAUGUGAAUUGCAGAAUUCAGUGAAUCAUCGAGUCUUUGAACGCACAUUGCGCCCCCUGGUAUUCCGGGGGGCAUGCCUGUCCGAGCGUCAUUGCUGCCCUCAAGCACGGCUUGUGUGUUGGGCUCCGUCCCCCCGGGGACGGGUCCGAAAGGCAGCGGCGGCACCGAGUCCGGUCCUCGAGCGUAUGGGGCUUUGUCACCCGCUCUGUAGGCCCGGCCGGCGCCAGCCGACAACCAAUCAUCCUUUUUUCAGGUUGACCUCGGAUCAGGUAGGGAUACCCGCUGAACUUAAGCAUAUCAAUAAGCGGAGGAAAAGAAACCAACAGGGAUUACCUCAGUAACGGCGAGUGAAGCGGUAAGAGCUCAAAUUUGAAAGCUGGCUCCUUCGGGGUCCGCAUUGUAUUUGGCAGAGGAUGUUUCGGGAGCAGCCCCCAUCUAAGUGUCCUGGAACGGACCGUCAUAGAGGGUGAGAAUC